CUUUAUGGCGGACCGUGCGGGGCGGGCUUCGGCCCGGCCGGCGUCCUUUCUGGCCGGUUUGCGACCCCCGCGCGGUCCGCCACCCUU
rnacentral:antisense_RNA from 1 species